AUGGCCUGGGCUCCUCUCCUGCUCCUACUUCUGGCUCACUGCACAGUGGUGAAUUCUCAGAAUGUGGUAACUCAAGAAGCAUCACUAUCCAUUACUCCUGGAGGGACAGUCACACUUACCUAUGGCUCCAGUGCUGGGGCUGUUACCGCCAGUAACUAUGCCAGUUGGGUUCAACAGGAACCUUACCAGGUGCCACGGGGUCUAAUAGGUGCAACCAAUAAUAGGCCUUCAAAUGUCCCUGCCCGAUUCUCUGGCUCCCUGCAAGGAAACAAGGCUGCCCUGACCAUCACAGGAGCCCAGGCUGAGGAUGAAGCUGAGUAUUUCUGUGCUCUGUGGUUCAGCAACCAUUUCCACAGUGACAGAUGCAGGUCCUUGUUCAGGGUCCAGGUGUAA